GAUGAACGCUGGCGGCGUGCCUAAUACAUGCAAGUCGAGCGAAUGGAUUAAGAGCUUGCUCUUAUGAAGUUAGCGGCGGACGGGUGAGUAACACGUGGGUAACCUGCCCAUAAGACUGGGAUAACUCCGGGAAACCGGGGCUAAUACCGGAUAACAUUUUGAACCGCCUGGUUCGAAAUUGAAUGGCGGCUUAGGCUGUCACUUAUGGAUGGACCCGCGUCGCAUUAGCUAGUUGGUGAGGUAACGGCUCACCAAGGCAACGAUGCGUAGCCGACCUGAGAGGGUGAUCGGCCACACUGGGACUGAGACACGGCCCAGACUCCUACGGGAGGCAGCAGUAGGGAAUCUUCCGCAAUGGACGAAAGUCUGACGGAGCAACGCCGCGUGAGUGAUGAAGGCUUUCGGGUCGUAAAACUCUGUUGUUAGGGAAGAACAAGUGCUAGUUGAAUAAGCUGGCACCUUGACGGUACCUAACCAGAAAGCCACGGCUAACUACGUGCCAGCCGCCGCCGUAA
rnacentral:rRNA from 1 species